rnacentral:rRNA from 1 species
AUCGGAAUUACUGGGCGUAAAGCGUGCGCAGGCGGCUGUUUAAGUCAGAUGUGAAAUCCCCGGGCUUAACCUGGGAACUGCAUUUGAUACUGGGCAGCUAGAGUUGAGUAGAGGAAAGGGGAAUUUCACGUGUAGCGGUGAAAUGCGUAGAGAUCUGAAGGAACACCAUGGCGAAGGCGCCUUUCUGGACUCGAACUGACGCUGAGGUACGAAAGCGUGGGUAGCAAACAGGAUUAGAUACCCUGGUAGUCCACGCCGUAAACGAUGUCAACUAGCUGUUGGUCUUAUUCAUAACAUUCGUGGCGCAGCUAACGCGAUAAGUUGACCGCCUGGGGAGUACGGCCGCAAGGUUAAAACUCAAAUGAAUUGACGGGGGCCCGCACAAGCGGUGGAGCAUGUGGUUUAAUUCGAUGCAACGCGAAAAACCUUACCUACCCUUGACAUGCAUAGAA